rnacentral:rRNA from 1 species
UACGUAGGGGCCUAGCGUUGUCCGGAUUUAUUGGGCGUAAAGAGCUCGUAGGCGGUUUGGUGAGUCGGGUGUGAAAUCUCCACGCUCAACGUGGAGGGGCCACCCGAUACUGCCAUGACUAGAGUCCGGUAGGGGAGUGUGGAAUUCCCGGUGUAGCGGUGAAAUGCGCAGAUAUCGGGAGGAACACCGGUGGCGAAGGCGGUUCUCUGGGCCUUACCUGACGCUGAGGAGCGAAAGCGUGGGGAGCGAACAGG